AUGGGUCAGCGACUUAUAUUCUGUAGCAAGGUUAACCGAAUAGGGGAGCCGAAGGGAAACCGAGUCUUAACUGGGCGUUAAGUUGCAGGGUAUAGACCCGAAACCCGGUGAUCUAGCCAUGGGCAGGUUGAAGGUUGGGUAACACUAACUGGAGGACCGAACCGACUAAUGUUGAAAAAUUAGCGGAUGACUUGUGGCUGGGGGUGAAAGGCCAAUCAAACCGGGAGAUAGCUGGUUCUCCCCGAAAGCUAUUUAGGUAGCGCCUCGUGAAUUCAUCUCCGGGGGUAGAGCACUGUUUCGGCAAGGGGGUCAUCCCGACUUACCAACCCGAUGCAAACUGCGAAUACCGGAGAAUGUUAUCACGGGAGACACACGGCGGGUGCUAACGUCCGUCGUGAAGAGGGAAACAACCCAGACCGCCAGCUAAGGUCCCAAAGUCAUGGUUAAGUGGGAAACGAUGUGGGAAGGCCCAGACAGCCAGGAUGUUGGCUUAGAAGCAGCCAUCAUUUAAAGAAAGCGUAAUAGCUCACUGGUCGAGUCGGCCUGCGCGGAAGAUGUAACGGGGCUAAACCAUGCACCGAAGCUGCGGCAGCGACGCUUAUGCGUUGUUGGGUAGGGGAGCGUUCUGUAAGCCUGUGAAGGUGUGCUGUGAGG
rnacentral:rRNA from 1 species